rfam:Malassezia globosa CBS 7966 mgl_sf_4.1, whole genome shotgun sequence.
GGGGAAUUAGCUCAGUGGUAGAGCGCUUGCUUAGCACCUUCGAUUGCAUGAGGUCGUGGGUUCAAUUCCCACAUUCUCCA